rnacentral:tRNA from 1 species
GGGUUUAGCUCAGUGGCGUAAGCGCCUGCCUUGCAAGCAGGCAGUCGUGAGUUCGAUCCCCGCUACCCA